GAAAUCUUUUUUUACGCGCGUUUCGCCGUUGUCGCCGCGCCUCGUGGGUUUCCUAGCGCGCGCCUAAACUCCUCGCGAAAAUCGCCUCGUUAUUUAUACCGGCGGGGCAAAAUUGUGUGGGAAAAAAAAAAAAAACCGCGCGCGCGCUAUUGUUGUCUGGCACGGCGGUAAUUAUGUCGAGGCGAAAAAACCGACCGAAAACCACGUGUGUAGGCGGCCGUUUUUUAACCGCCGACUCUUCUUCGUUCGUCUCGUUUCUUUGUGUCGUACGCGGUACUUUUUUUUUCUCAUUUACCGUACAAGUUCACGCCCAUA